rnacentral:rRNA from 1 species
UACAGAGGUGCCGAGCGUUAGGCGGAAUCACUGGGCUUAAAGCGUGUGUAGGCGGACUUGUAAGUACCUUGUGAAAUCCCACAGCUCAACUGUGGAACUGCUUGGUAUACUGCUUGUCUUGAGCCACUUAGGGGCAGUCGGAACAGACGGUGGAGCGGUGAAAUGCGUAGAUAUCGUCUGGAACGCCAAAGGUGAAAACAGACUGCUGGGAGUGGUGCUGAC